UGUGUGUGUGUCAUCAAAUUAAGGACAAAACAAAAACCAAAUAGCUUGCUUAGCAAAUGGUGAUCAUUGUUAAUUACAUGUUUGUGAAUGACUGAGAAUGAGAUUUAUUGAAAGAGGGCACGGGACAAAUUAACAUUUAAACAAGCAGCGCGCGGCGCGUCACUGUCUGAGUACUGCGCGAGAGUGCGCGUGCCCGUCAUUAACGGUCAACUUCCAGCAGACAGACACGGAGGAAAAGGUCCUGACUACCACCAGUUGAGUCAAUGAUUCAGUCAUCCUGACCAUUCUGUUGUCCUGGAUUUGAAGACAUGCUGGAACUGUAUUUCUCAUGGUUGAAAGAUUUGUGCAGCGGUAUCCAGACAUAUAAGCACCCUUCCUGGACCCACACGACUACAGGCUCUGGAGGAGAGGCAGAUUCAAGGGAAAGAUGAAAAAUAAGGAAGUCUGGGAACGACUGAAGAAGACCGCAGCGAGGGAAGGAAGUAAUCAGCACAAUCUGCCAGAGAAGGAUAUUGACAGUGCAGGCUCUGGACGGCGAAGAGGAGGAAGAACACCUUUAACAUAAUUUUCUCAUACCUUUGCCAUGUGUUAUAAUAAGAACAACUAGAUUAAAAAGUUCGUCGAGACAAACUU